UACGAAGGGAGCUAGCGUUGUUCGGAAUCACUGGGCGUAAAGCGCACGUAGGCGGAUGUGUCAGUCAGGGGUGAAAUCCCGGAGCUCAACUUCGGAACUGCCUUUGAUACAGCACAUCUGGAGUCCGGAAGAGGUGGGUGGAAUUCCUAGUGUAGAGGUGAAAUUCGUAGAUAUUAGGAAGAACACCGGUGGCGAAGGCGGCCCACUGGUCCGGUACCGACGCUGAGGUGCGAAAGCGUGGGGAGCAAACAGG
rnacentral:rRNA from 1 species